UGUAGUAGUAUGGAGGUGGAGGUGAGGGAGAUGGUGGUGGUGGAGAUUUGUAAUAGUAAGGUGGUGGAGGGGAAUGUGAGGGGGGUGGGGGGGAUUUGUAAUAAUAAGGAGGUGGAGGUGAUGGGGAUGGAGGAGGUGGUGACUUGUACACAUAUGUUGGAGCCUUGUGCUCAUAAGAUGGUGGUGGAGGUGAUUUAUACUCAUAGGGUGGUGGGGGUGAUGGUGAAGGAGGUGGGGGAGACUUAUAUUCAUAAGAUGGAGACUUGUGCUCAUAGGGUGGAGGUGGUGGAGAUUUGUAAAUGUAAGAUGGUGGAGGUGACGGUGAGGGAGGCGGUGGUGACUUGUAAAUGUAAGGUGGUGGUGGUGAUGGUGAUGGUGGUGGGGGUGACUUGUACUGGUAAGAUGGAGCCUUGUGCUCAUAUGGUGGUGGAGGUGACGGUGAUGGAGGUGGUGGUGACUUGUAAAUGUAAGGUGGUGGAGGUGAUGGUGAUGGAGGUGGGGGUGACUUGUACUGGUAAGAUGGUGCCUUGUGCUCAUAUGGAGGCGGUGGUGACGGUGAUGGAGGCGGUGGUGACUUGUACACAUAAG
rnacentral:lncRNA from 1 species